UCUCAAUGGUCCCGGGAGGAAAGGCUUUAGGAUGUUUGGUAGCACCGGGAAGAUGCUUGGUUGUACCUGUAAAACGUACCUGGUGGCGACAGCCCCCCUGAGCAGAUGACGAGUAGGCUACACCUGGUUGGGCAGGUUUUUGGCCUCCAAAAUCACCACCGUCAGCUUCCCUGCAGUAGGCACAUACCUCAAGGACAAACAUAUGUCUCCAAGCCGCUCACUCUAAUACAAAGAAAAAGAAUGUGCUCCCACCUCCUCCUUCUCUGCCUUCUGCAGAUCUCUCCACUCCUGUAGAGACUGGCUGAAGUCCACACUGCUCAUCGGUAUCUUCACAGCUCCAAUGGCAUCGUGUUUUGAGAAACGGUCGAAGUCGUACACAGUCAUCACCAGUGUCUUCCCGCCCAGCUCAGUGAUAUGCAAGCCGCUGUCUCUGCCAAACUUGCUGACAUGGAGGGAGGAAGAGGAGAUGUGUCGAAGUUGAAGCGUCACGCGUGGACCGCUGCUGUUCCACAGUGUGCAGCCAGAGGUGAGAAUCCUGUGCCAAGGUCACGCUCCAUGUAGGUUAACAAAGUACAUAAGAGAAAAUUCCCACUGCCAAGACUUGACUCCCAAGUGCAAAAAUGUUCUGAUAUGUUAUUUUCUAUUCCGCAGACAUCACAGGUAUUGAGUAUCUAGGCUUGAGUCAGCAGAUGUGAUCUCACACCCAAGCAAACACUGACUUCAGUUUAUGUCUGCUUUUUCAGGAUUAAUCACCAGUUUUUUUCUGAGAAGACAGGGGCUCAAACAGAAGCCACCGCUGAUACACCGUAACUAAGUGUUAAUUCACAGCUUUUAUGUUUUCAUAUUCCAGUAUGAAACAGAAACAUUAUACAAGCUACUAACUUGUCAUCUUUCUCUCAUUUUUGCUGCAGAGGUGAUAAUGAAUGACUCGCACCAUAUGGUCCCCCAACUUCAGUUGUCAAAGCAGCUAAAACGCUUUUUGCACCUGAUCAAACAAGUUUGCAAAUUCAUUACAGUAAAUGAAAUAUAGUGUCACUGCAAGAUGAAAGCUCUUUAUCUCAAAAAUGACAAGUAUAAGACACCAAGAAAAAAAGCCUUGUUUUUAGUUUGACAUCAGAAAUGUUCUCAAAAAGAAGUGAAUCUUUCAGUAGAAGCGAAAGAAAAUCACUGAAACUGGAGUUACACACUAAUAAAUUACCCAUGGUGAUUGUGUUGUUGCACCCCAGCCUGUAUCCAGUAACCAACAGAAUGACCUGAUUAAUAUUAUUGAUCUUUUAUGCAUCCAUGGGUUUACACGCAGUUGCUAUUCACUUAGCAGAGAGAAAUAAAUCAAAGUACUUUUGAUUGAUGAAACAAAGAGAAAAACAAAGGACCCAGAGACAUACCUGUAUUCA